UAGCUAUUUUCCAUUAAACAUUAUAGCUGCUGAAUCUAUCCAACAGUUGAGCUGUCUUGACUGCACACUCUGUUUAAAGCAAGCUUCUCCUGACAUUGAGUUGAUGAUUAACCAGCAGAACAAGAUGAAUCCUACCUCACUGAGUUCGUUUGAUGGAAAUGGACCCAUGUAGCAGAGCACUCGAGAAUUUGAGAGAUUCAUGAUGCUGAUGUUGUCCUCGGAAGCUGUCUGAAGUAGAACGUGCUAAUCUUCGACCGAGAGGAUAAUUGGAGCAUAUCUUCCAAGGUUGUCUCUCACUACACUUGCAUAUGAGAGAGAGAGUUUCUUGUUGUGUUUUACCAGUACAUGGAAUCUCAAAGUGAGUAUUAUUAUUUCUUGCUUUCAUAUUACAGAAUCAAAC